UACGUAGGGGGCAAGCGUUGUCCGGAAUUAUUGGGCGUAAAGCGCGCGCAGGCGGUUAUUUAAGUCUGGUGUUUAAGGCUGGGGCUCAACCCCGGUUCGCACUGGAAACUGAGUGACUUGAGUGCAGAAGAGGAAAGUGGAAUUCCACGUGUAGCGGUGAAAUGCGUAGAGAUGUGGAGGAACACCAGUGGCGAAGGCGACUUUCUGGGCUGUAACUGACGCUGAGGCGCGAAAGCGUGGGGAGCAAACAGG
rnacentral:rRNA from 1 species